GAUGAACGCUGGCGGCGUGCCUAAUACAUGCAAGUAGAACGCUGAAGGAGGAGCUUGCUCUUCUGGAUGAGUUGCGAACGGGUGAGUAACGCGUAGGUAACCUGCCUGGUAGCGGGGGAUAACUAUUGGAAACGAUAGCUAAUACCGCAUGACAACAGUUAUUGCAUGAUAACUGUUUAAAAGGGGCAACAGCUCCACUACCAGAUGGACCUGCGUUGUAUUAGCUAGUUGGUGAGGUAACGGCUCACCAAGGCGACGAUACAUAGCCGACCUGAGAGGGUGAUCGGCCACACUGGGACUGAGACACGGCCCAGACUCCUACGGGAGGCAGCAGUAGGGAAUCUUCGGCAAUGGACGGAAGUCUGACCGAGCAACGCCGCGUGAGUGAAGAAGGUUUUCGGAUCGUAAAGCUCUGUUGUAAGAGAAGAACGAGUGUGAGAGUGGAAAGUUCACACUGUGACGGUAUCUUACCAGAAAGGGACGGCUAACUACGUG
rnacentral:rRNA from 1 species